rnacentral:rRNA from 1 species
CCUACGGGGGGCAGCAGUAGGGAAUCUUCCACAAUGGGCGCAAGCCUGAUGCAGCAACACCGCGUGAGUGAAGAAGGGCUUCGGCGCGUAAAGCUCUGUUGUUGGAGAAGAACAUGCGGGAAAGUAACUGUUCACGCAGUGACGGUAUCCAACCAGAAAGUCACGGCUAACUACGUGCCAGCAGCCGCGGUAAUACGUAGGUGGCAAGCGGUAUCCGGAUUUAUUGGGCGUAAAGCGAGCGAAGGCGGUUGUGUAAGUCUGAUGUGAAAGCCUGCGGCUUAACCGCAGAAGUGCACUGGAAACUGGGCAACUUGAGUGCAGAAGAGGAAGGUGGAAUUCCAGGUGUAGCGGUGAAAUGCGUAGAUAUAUGGAAGAACACCGGUGGCGAAGGCGGCUUUCUGGUCUGCAACUGACGCUGAGGCUCGAAAGCGUGGGUAGCAAACAGGAUUAGAUACCCGAGUAGUC